rnacentral:rRNA from 1 species
UUAGCGGCGGACGGGUGAGUAACACGUGGGUAACCUGCCCAUAAGACUGGGAUAACUCCGGGAAACCGGGGCUAAUACCGGAUAACAUUUUGAACCGCAUGGUUCGAAAUUGAAAGGCGGCUUCGGCUGUCACUUAUGGAUGGACCCGCGUCGCAUUAGCUAGUUGGUGAGGUAACGGCUCACCAAGGCAACGAUGCGUAGCCGACCUGAGAGGGUGAUCGGCCACACUGGGACUGAGACACGGCCCAGACUCCUACGGGAGGCAGCAGUAGGGAAUCUUCCGCAAUGGACGAAAGUCUGACGGAGCAACGCCGCGUGAGUGAUGAAGGCUUUCGGGUCGUAAAACUCUGUUGUUAGGGAAGAACAAGUGCUAGUUGAAUAAGCUGGCACCUUGACGGUACCUAACCAGAAAGCCACGGCUAACUACGUGCCAGCAGCCGCGGUAAUACGUAGGUGGCAAGCGUUAUCCGGAAUUAUUGGGCGUAAAGCGCGCGCAGGUGGUUUCUUAAGUCUGAUGUGAAAGCCCACGGCUCAACCGUGGAGGGUCAUUGGAAACUGGGAGACUUGAGUGCAGAAGAGGAAAGUGGAAUUCCAUGUGUAGCGGUGAAAUGCGUAGAGAUAUGGAGGAACACCAGUGGCGAAGGCGACUUUUCUGGUCUGUAACUGACACUGAGGCGCGAAAGCGUGGGGGAGCAAACAGGAUUAGAUACCCUGGUAGUCCACGCCGUAAACGAUGAGUGCUAAGUGUUAGAGGGUUUCCGCCCUUUAGUGCUGAAGUUAACGCAUUAAGCACUCCGCCUGGGGGAGUACGGGCCGCGAGGCUGAACUCAAGGAUUGACGGGGGCCCGCACUAGCGGUCGAGCAUGUGGUUUAAUUCGAAGCAACGCGAAGAAUCCUUACCAGGUCUUGGACAUCCUCUGAA